GUACUACUCCCUCUGUCCAACAAAAGAUGUCUCAAGUUUGUUAAAAUUUGGAUGUACUAGGCAUGAUUUAGUGUAUAGAUGCAUUCAAAUUUAGUCAAAGUUGAGACAUCCUUUGUUGGACGGAGGAAGUAUGUG
rfam:Brachypodium distachyon strain Bd21 chromosome 3, whole genome shotgun sequence.